rnacentral:rRNA from 1 species
CCUACGGGAUGCUGCAGUGGGGAAUAUUGCACAAUGUGGGGAACACUGAUGCAGCGACGCCGCGUGAGUGAAGCAGUAUUUCGGUAUGUAAAGCUCUAUCAGCAGGGCAGAAAAUGACGGUACCUGACUAAGAAGCCCCGGCUAACUUCGUGCCAGCAGCCGCGGUAAUACGUAGGGGGAAAGCGUUAUCCGGAUUUACUGGGUGUAAAGGGAGCGUAGACGGUUAUGCAAAGCUGAAGUGAAAGCACAAGGAUCAACCAUGGGACUGCUUUGGAAACUGUAAAACUGGAGUGCAGGAGAGGUAAGCGGAAUGCCUAGUGUAGCGGUGAAAUGCGUAGAUAUUAGGAGGAACACCAGUGGCGAAGGCGGCUUACUGGACUGUAACUGACGUUGAGGCUCGAAGGCGUGGGGAGCAAACAGGAUUAGAUACCCUUGUAGUC